UUCCCUCUAGUUUAUUCUGCUCCUUCGUGAUAGAGCAUGAGACUAUGAAUCGCAGGGUUGUGGGUUUGAGCCCCAUGUUGGGCAA